AUGGAGGAACUCAAGCUGCAGCAGGAAGAGUACAAUAGGACUGAGAAUGAACUACAGUUCUGGGAACAACAGAAUGAAGCUUGGCGCACCAGAUUAACAGCUUUACAAGAAUACAUAGAAGCGCAGCGAGCUGAAGCAAAGCGAGUGUUAGACACCGCGCGGGAGAAGAGAGUCAAUCUUGUUGUCAACAGCAUACAACAGUGGAAUGAGAAGCUGGCACAGUGAUGUAAUAAAAAUAGGUUAAGUUUUAUGUCAGUAAUAUAAUAUGACUUUUAUUAAUUAUGUAACUAUGUAUAUGACCUUUACUGUUGGUGAUUCAGACCCAUGAACCAAAUACAAAGUUCAGACCUCUCCGGAAGAGGUUCAUAUUGAAUUUAAAUACACAUUUCAUGAUGAAUUCCCACAGAAAAAGAUGCAGUGCAUUUGUAAAUAAUUAUAAUUUCAUUGUAAUAGAAUAAUUGAGGCGAAAUGUAUAAUUAGGUUUAUGAUAAUAAAAUAAAAGCUGUAAUUUUACUAACA